ensembl:lincRNA 1010001N08Rik RIKEN cDNA 1010001N08 gene
GAUUGGACUCACCGAGCCCUAAACAAACAGCGCUAGCCGAAGGGUGCCAGGCUGUGGGUCGGAACUGCUCUCUACAAGCUGCUGGGUGCGGAGCUCACAAAAGGGAUUUCUUUCGACAAGCUGGACAUUGGAAGAAGGCUGCGAGAAGGGAAUUGAACAUGAGAAACACUCUUGUGGGAGUGGAUUCUUACAGGAACACCCCAGUCACUGUGGCUUCAGCGUGGCUGCAUUUAUGAAAGGCUGGAAGUAGAAAACUCUGGAAUGGAGAGACUAGCAGCUGGAACAGGAUUCAAAGGCUUUAAAUUUUAACCCGAGUUCGAUCGAAAGUUACUACCACAAGAGACUGGCACGGGCCGGCCCAAUUCCCACCACGGCUUCCAGCGGCUUGCUUUGGGUUGUCCGCUAGGCGUCGAAGACUAGAGAACACACUGACCCUGGCGCCUCUGGGACAGAGGUGAGGAGUUCGACCCAAACGAACAGAUUCGACAACAUUCGGACUCUAGAGGCUGGGGAAGAAACCCAUAAUUUUACCGUCCUCAUUCCCAAUCAUUUUAGUAGUGCCUCCAACCACAAGAAAACCGAUAGAUCAUUGUUUUUCCUUUCAGGGCUCAAAAUUCACCUUUUAAACUUUUUUUAAAGACUAGCUUUCCGAAAGAGGAAUAGGUUAGAGAAAUAUUUUUUUUCCAUCUCAGUUAAUGUAAAAAUAAAACCUGUCCGGUUGACUAAG